rnacentral:rRNA from 1 species
CCUACGGGUGGCAGCAGUGAGGAAUAUUGGUCAAUGGGCGAGAGCCUGAACCAGCCAAGUCGCGUGAAGGAUGACGGCUCUAUGGUUUGUAAACUUCUUUUAUAUGGGAAUAAAGUGAGGAACGUGUUCCUUUUUGUAUGUACCAUAUGAAUAAGCAUCGGCUAACUCCGUGCCAGCAGCCGCGGUAAUACGGAGGAUGCGAGCGUUAUCCGGAUUUAUUGGGUUUAAAGGGUGCGUAGGUGGGUAAUUAAGUCAGCGGUGAAAGUUUGUGGCUCAACCAUAAAAUUGCCGUUGAUACUGGUAGACUUGAGUAUAUUUGAGGUAGGCGGAAUGCGUGGUGUAGCGGUGAAAUGCAUAGAUAUCACGCAGAACUCCGAUUGCGAAGGCAGCUUACUAAACUAUAACUGACACUGAAGCACGAAAGCGUGGGGAUCAAACAGGAUUAGAUACCCGGGUAGUC